AGCGUUGAGUGCAGCAGCCAUGAGGUUCCCUACCGUCACAGCUCACAGUAAAUCAUUUCCCAGUGCUAAGAAUUUAGUGAGGCCAGCAGACUCUGCAAUUGGAGUUGGCCACAUCUCAACAACUAAAGGCAUGCAGGGAGCAGCUUCUUACAAGAGAAGCGGAAAUCGCGGAGCUGAAAGCCGAAAGGAACA